CAGGUGGGCGCUUCCUGGCGGGGGGCAGGCAGAGGGACAGAGGGACGGCCCGGAGCCGCCCCUCGCCCCUCCUCUUCCUCUGUCUCUGCCUCUUCCUCUGCCUCUUUCUCUGCCUGGUGCGGUCGGCAGCCGGCCGUUGGUUUCUUUAUCGGCCCGGAGGCCGGAAGUGCAGAGACGCCAUUGAAGUUCCUCUCCCCGCCGAAGAGCCACGUGGCCGGGUAUGUGCUGCCCUCAGCUCUUGGAAGGGAGGUUUGGAGCAAAAAUAAUACCCUCACACCACUUUGCAGUUUAAUCGCUAUACAAAAACUAGCAGGGUUUCGACUGAUCAGCACGGAAAUCGAGGUAUAGGCUUGAUUUUUAUUGACUUUGAUUUUGAUUUAUUCUGUUCGUUUGGGUUUUUUUAAGCCAUACUUGACUCGUGUGUGGAUGCUCAUCUUUUACUGACAGAAAAACAUAACCAAGAGCAAAAGUGUGCAUUGCUAUCUGUGCAAGGGGCAUAUCUUUAAUGAUCAGCACAUUGCUAAUUUAGUGAAGUGAGUGCUUAGAGUGAUCUGGAAUUGCUGGAGCAGGGAGAGGUGUCUAGAUGAUUUUAAUAGUUUUGUUUCAGAGCAGCUUACAACUCCUCGGAAGGCAUUGUACUGUUUAGUAAUGUUCUCUGUCUUGCGUGUUUUCAGUAGCAAUAUUAAAUUGCCUCUAAUUGCCUUUACAGGGGAAAAACGUUCUGGAGUUGUGAUGACAGAAGAUGGGGCUAAAUUCAACGUGGAGUAGUUGUAACUAGAAUUUCAAACUUUUACUUAACUGAAGGGUGGAUGUGUCUGAGCUUCUAGAAUUAAUGCUCUUUGCAAGCAGUAGUAUUUCUGGUUGUCAAACAGAGCAGGCAAAUCCUACUUUUGGGCUAGGUCUUAAUUUCACUUCAGACAUAAAUGAGCUUUUCUAAUUAAGGUGAAACCUACAGCCUAGACGUUCUGCAGUCUCUCUCUGCUCUUUACAAAAAGCACAGAGGACCUGGGAUCUAGCUUAAUGUGCUUGAAAUUAGCCUUGACUCUUGCAGCUCUGUCUCAAACACUGUUCACAGUGUUUCAGUAUUUAGCAACGUAGACCUGCCUGUCCCUGUGGCAAACGCAUCUCUUUCUGAUUGUCUGGUGCCCAAACAAACUGGAAUGCAUGGGCCACAAAACAAAGCUCAUGGAGGAACAGGAAAUUGCUUGACAAAAGCUGCUAGCAUAACAAGCAAGCGCAGCAGGCAUAUUGGUCAGGUUAACUUAUGUUCAGCCUACCCUUAUGGGGGUGCACAGCCACUGAGGACCCCUGCUGAAGGGCAGGUACCAUGUGUGGGCAGGAGGAAAAUGGUAGUACAGCACGUGCUAACCACGAGAUAGCAGAGUUCUCCCCGCCUGGUAAGAGCGGUCUUGACCAAUCGUAUAUACACAGGGUUACUGUGUGUGCUUUCUGGUCUUAUCAAGAAUAUGCAUGGCGAUGAACUGGCUAUAUGCCAUUUACCCUGGAAACCAGAUGGGAAAAAAACACAAGGGAACACUAUAAACGACAGUACUUUUGCAAGAUAUUAGGGACCCUCCACACCAGAUCACUGAAGACAGCAGAUCAACGGGAUGCUAUGGUGGUGACCAUCUCUUGCAAUCUGUAAGAUCCCUUUGCUUUUAUUUCCAUACUUUUUCUAUUAAUUUUUUCUUAACUACCACUUCUCUUUUGAUCCACAUAUAAAAGUAAUCUGGUAGACAACAUUUGACCUUGUUUGUGUCUUAAUCUCACUGUGGGUGAAUCACAAACUACCCUACGAGCAAUCAGAACAGGACAGCUUUGUCCACAAAUUACAUUAACCUUAUCCCAACUAUGUUCUUUUUCUGUGCUGCCUUCCAAAAUUUGUCUGCUCCUGCCUUAGGGCCAUCUCUAAAUUUUAAGCUAUUACAAUCUCUCAGUUGUUCAGUGGCUAUGCUGUCACAUGGCUGACCGUACUGCAGUAUUUUUAAAUCUGAUGAUGUGCACCUUUUGAUGGCUGCUUUUCUGCUGCUAAAUAAACUGCCUUAGAAAGGUCUCAAGGAGUAUACGUGUAGUCCAAAAGACAAAGGUAAGUUUGGGAAGUCUAGAAAACGCAUGUGAACAUCCACAGUCUUAAUUUCAAUAUAUGCGAUUGUGAUGCAUUCAAAUGUAUUAAUGAGUCAAUAAAAAGACAUUGAGUUUCACUGAAA